rnacentral:rRNA from 1 species
UACGUAGGGGGCUAGCGUUGUCCGGAUUUAUUGGGCGUAAAGAGCGUGUAGGCGGCCAGGUAGGUCUGCUGUGAAAACUCGAGGCUCAACCUCGAGACGUCGGCGGAAACCAUCUGGCUAGAGUCCGGAAGAGGAGAGUGGAAUUCCUGGUGUAGCGGUGAAAUGCGUAGAUAUCGGAAGGAACAUCAGUGGCGAAGGCGGCCGCCUGGGCCUGAUCUGACACUGAGACACGAAAGCGUGGGGAUCAAACAGG